AAUCAACGCUGGCGGCGCGCUUAACACAUGCAAGUCGCACGAGAAAGGGAGCAAUCCUGAGUAAAGUGGCGUACGGGUGAGUAACACGUGGGAAUCUACCUCUUGGCGGGGAAUAACCCUGGGAAACCGGGGCUAAUACCGCAUAAGCUCGUGAGAGGAAAGCAGCAAUGCACCGAGAGAGGAGCCCGCGGCCGAUUAGCUAGUUGGUGGGGUAAUGGCUCACCAAGGCGAAGAUCGGUAGCCGGCCUGGGAGGGCACACGGCCACACUGGCACUGAAACACGGGCCAGACUCCGACGGGAGGCAGCAGUGGGGAAUCUUGCACAAUGGGGGAAACCCUGAUGCAGCGACGCCGCGUGAGCGAUGAAGCCCUUCGGGGUGUAAAGCUCUUUCGACAGGAACGAUAAUGACGGUACCUGGAGAAGAAGCUGCGGCUAACUACGUG
rnacentral:rRNA from 1 species